AAGUGAAGUGCCCCACCAUGCAACUGGAAGUGAAGUGCCCCACCAUGCAACUGGAAGUGAAGUGCCCACCAUGCAACUGGAAGUGAAGUGCCCACCAUGCAACUGGAAGUGAAGUGCCCACCAUGCAACUGGAAGUGAAGUACCCCACCAUGCAACAAGAAGUGAAGUGCCCCACCAUGCAACUGGAAGUGAAGUGCCCCACCAUGCAACUGGAAGUGAAGUGCCCCACCAUGCAACUGGAAGUGAUACCCCGAGCAACAAUGCUCCAUUAGUGGCCGUGGUCAUGUGUCUAUAGGGAACCGGAAGUGCCCCACCAUGGAACUGGAAGUGAUACCCCGUGCGACAAUGCUCCAUCAGUGGCUGUGGCCAUGUGUCCAGAGAACCGGAAGUGCCCCACCAUGGAACUGGAAGUGAUACCCCGUGCGACAAUGCUCCAUGAGUGGCUGUGGCCAUGCCUCAAGAAGAAAACACGGACCCGUCUUUGGCGAAGGGCGCUUUUGGAGCUGGAAAUGGGCGAUGCCUCACUGAUGACACAAUGGGUGACGUCUCACUGAUGACACAAUGGGUGACGCCUCACUGAUGACACAAUGGGUGACGCCUCACUGAUGACACAAUGAGUGACGUCUCACUGAUGACACAAUGGUUGACGUCUCACUGAUGACACAAUGGGUGACGCCUCACUGAUGACACAAUGGUUGACGCCUCACUGAUGACACAAUGGUUGACGCCUCACUGAUGACACAAUGGUUGACGUCUCACUGAUGACACAAUGGGUGACGCCUCACUGAUGACACAAUGGGUGACGCCUCACUGAUGACACAAUGGGUGACGUCUCACUGAUGACACAAUGGGUGACGCCUCACUGAUGACACAAUGGGUGACGCCUCACUGAUGACACAAUGGGUGACGCCUCACUGAUGACACAAUGGUUGACGCCUCACUGAUGACACAAUGGGUGACGUCUCACUGAUGACACAAUGGGUGACGCCUCACUGAUGACACAAUGGUUGACGUCUCACUGAUGACACAAUGGGUGACGUCUCACUGAUGACACAAUGGGUGACGCCUCACUGAUGACACAAUGGGUGACGCCUCACUGAUGACACAAUGGGUGACGCCUCACUGAUGACACAAUGGGUGACGCCUAACCGAUGACACCAUGGCCUGAUUUCUCGACUGGAUCAGUGAAAAUAGUGGAUGCCGUUUUACGGAAAACACUAUGGAAACGAAAAUUUGGGACUAGUUUUUAUUGACAGACAAUUUUACAUUGAUGUUUAUGUGACAUUCUAAU